CUGCAGCCAAUUAAACUCACUGUACUUGCUACCCUAUGAGGCUGUGUGUAGUGGCUGCCAACAGCAGCCUCCUGGGUAGUGUAUGCUGCCUGGCUUGUAAAGGAUACCUUAUGGGAACUUGGAGAUAGCC
ensembl:snoRNA SNORA70 Small nucleolar RNA SNORA70